rnacentral:lncRNA from 1 species
CCACAGGGUUCUUGAAGACACAACUAAGCAGAUCUCUGGAAUGGACAAGGAAGGUAUCUUCGAUCGAAGCUGUGGGAGGAGCUUUGGACUUGGCUAAGAGCCAGAGCCCUGUAGAGGGAGCGCCAGAGAGCCACUGCGAAGACCCCAGGGGACCAGGAUGCAGCUAAGUCACCUGGAUGCGGAGAAGCUUCUGGGUCCCCACUCUACCUCGCAUCUCUUCUAGAAGGUGCCAGCUGGUGGCUAUGCUUGCACUGGAGCCUUUGCAUAGCCUACGUGGCUGUCAGUGAG